rnacentral:rRNA from 1 species
CUACGGGAUGCUCCAGUGAGGAAUAUUGCACAAUGGGGGGAACCCUGAUGCAGCAACGCCGCGUGGAGGAUGACGCAUUUCGGUGUGUAAACUCCUUUUAUAUGUCAAGAAAAUGACGGUAGCAUAUGAAUAAGCACCGGCUAACUCCGUGCCAGCAGCCGCGGUAAUACGGAGGGUGCAAGCGUUACUCGGAAUCACUGGGCGUAAAGGACGCGUAGGCGGGUUGGAAAGUCAGGUGUGAAAUCCUACAGCUUAACUGUAGAACUGCACUUGAAACUUCUAAUCUAGAGUAUGGGAGGGGGAGAUGGAAUUAGUGGUGUAGGGGUAGAAUCCGUAGAUAUCACUAGGAAUACCUAAAGCGAAGGCGAUCUCCUGGAACAUUACUGACGCUAAGGCGUGAAAGCGUGGGGAGCAAACAGGAUUAGAUACCCCGUAGUC